AGUCGGUAUACACAUAAAUGUAAAUUAUCUUUUAUGAAAACUAAACUUUGCGGAUAGCACCGCAAUAUUAUAAGAACACGCGCGCACGGUGCACUUACAAUCAGAAUCUUAAACGAGUAAAGAAGUUUAAAUUGAAAUUUAAAAUUCGGAGUGGAAACGCUACGAAAAUUCGACCGCAUAUCGAAAAAGACGACAGUACACUAUUAAAUUACGAUAUU